rfam:Parcubacteria (Azambacteria) bacterium GW2011_GWC1_46_13 TX33_C0011, whole genome shotgun sequence.
CCGGUGAACCGGAUGAUCGCUGUUUUCCGAUAUCGUGUCGGAAGAUAGAGGAAAGUCCGAACACCCUCCGCCCUUCGGCGGAGAAGCGGAUAGUUGCUAACGGCAACCGGGAGUAACUUCUAAAAAAGUUUUGUUCUUAAGACAAAAAUUUUUUAAAAGCCAAGCCCAGGGAAAGUGCCACAGAGACGAUACUAGUCCCGUUUCAACGGGGCGAAAGGUGAAAAGUAAGAUGGUGUUCCUUUUUAAGGAGCUAUAUCUUUUCCUUAUCGGUGACGAUAAGCGACGGCAAACCCUAUCCGGUGCAAGAGCAAACCAUCCCGCCUCGGCGGGGUGACGAAAAGUAGCUCGCUUGAGCCCGCGAGCGAUCGCGGGCCCAGAUAAAUGAUCAUCGGUCGCCUUAGGCGACCACAGAAUUCGGCUUACAGGUUCGCCGGCAAA